AAUGAACGCUGGCGGCGUGCUUAACACAUGCAAGUCGAGCGAGGCCUGGGGGGCAACUCCCAGAGUCGAGCGGCGGACGGGUGAGUAACACGUGGGUAACCUGCCCGGAAGUGGGGAAUACCUCGGGGAAACGUCGAGCUAAUACCGCAUGACAUCUCCGGGACGAAAGUCCUGGCGAUCAAAGCGGGGUCGCAAGAUCUCGCGCUACCGGAUGGGCCCGCGCCCGAUUAGCUAGUUGGGAGGUAACGGCUCACCAAGGCUUCGAUCGGUAACCGGCCCUGAGAGGGCGAUCGGUCACACCGGAACUGAGACACGGUCCGGACUCCUACGGGAGGCAGCAGUGGGGAAUCUUGCGCAAUGGGCGAAAGCCUGACGCAGCAACGCCGCGUGGAGGAUGAAGGCCCUUGGGUUGUAAACUCCUGUCGGCUGGGAAGAAAUCGUUCGGGGCUCAUACCCCUCGGACGUUGACUGUACCAGCAAAGGAAGCCCCGGCUAACUCUGUGCACGCCG
rnacentral:rRNA from 1 species